UACGUAGGUGGCUAGCGUUGUCCGGAUUUACUGGGCGUAAAGAGCGCGCAGGCGGUCGUUCAAGUCGAGUGUGAAAGCCCCCCGGCUCAACUGGGGAGGGUCACUCGAUACUGAUCGACUCGAAGGCAGGAGAGGGAAGCGGAAUUCCCGGUGUAGUGGUGAAAUGCGUAGAUAUCGGGAGGAACACCAGUGGCGAAGGCGGCUUCUGCCUGGCUCUUGACGCUGAGGCGCGAAAGCUAGGGUAGCAAACGGG
rnacentral:rRNA from 1 species